UUACUCUCUCAGUCAGGCUUAUGUGUGUGUCCAUUUAGAGCAGUGAUGUUACUGUGGCCAGACAAGAUGACACGUCUUCAAAGUGUCUUGUGCUACGAAAGGCCCAACAAGCCAAACAGCAACGAUGUGAGUCCAGUUGUCUGUUAAUUCAUGUCAUUACUCAGGAGGAAGGCGUGCUGCAAUACCUUAAGAAAAUCAUCAGAGGCAACAUUGUGUCUCCCUGGGCCAAGAAGGAGGACAGGGUCUUCAUUCUUUUUGAAGAUGAUGACCAAGUGGACCAGGUGAUGCACUUCUUGUCUGGAGUGGUUGAAAGUCCACAGACAGAUAAGAAGUCUGCAGAGCCUGUGGCUUUAAUCAUA